CGGAACGGGUGAGUAAUAUAUCGAACGUACCCAAGAGUGGGGGACAACCAGUACGAAAGAUGGCUAAUACCGCAUACGAUCUAAGGAUGAAAGUGGGGGACCUUCGGGCCUCACGCCCCUGGAGCGGCCGAUAGCUGAUUAGCUAGUUGGUGGGGUAAAGGCUACCAAGGCGAUGAUCAGUAACUGGUCUGAGAGGACGAUCAGCCACACUGGGACUGAGACACGGCCCAG
rnacentral:rRNA from 1 species